AGAGUUUGAUCAUGGCUCAGAUUGAACGCUGGCGGCAGGCUUAACACAUGCAAGUCGAGCGGUAGCAGGCCUUCGGGUGCUGACGAGCGGCGGACGGGUGAGGAAUGCAUAGGAAUCUGCCUAUUAGUGGGGGAUAACACGGGGAAACUCGUGCUAAUACCGCAUACGUCCUACGGGAGAAAGCGGGGGAUCUUCGGACCUCGCGCUAAUAGAUGAGCCUAUGCCGGAUUAGCUAGUUGGUAGGGUAAAGGCCUACCAAGGCGACGAUCCGUAGCUGGUCUGAGAGGAUGAUCAGCCACACUGGGACUGAGACACGGCCCAGACUCCACGGGAGGCAGCAGUGGGGAAUAUUGGACAAUGGGCGCAAGCCUGAUCCAGCCAUGCCGCGUGUGUGAAGAAGGCCUUCGGGUUGUAAAGCACUUUAAGUGGGGAGGAAGGUUAGUGGUUUAAUACGCUACUAAAUUGACGUUACCCACAGAAUAAGCACCGGCUAACUCUGUGCCAGCAGCCGCGGUAAUACAGAGGGUGCAAGCGUUAAUCGGAAUUACUGGGCGUAAAGCGCGCGUAGGUGGUUUUGUAAGUUGAAUGUGAAAUCCCCGGGCUUAACCUGGGAAUGGCAUCCAAAACUGCACGACUAGAGUAUGGGAGAGGGAGGUAGAAUUCCAGGUGUAGCGGUGAAAUGCGUAGAGAUCUGGAGGAAUACCGGUGGCGAAGGCGGCCUCCUGGCCUAAUACUGACACUGAGGUGCGAAAGCGUGGGUAGCAAACAGGAUUAGAUACCCUGGUAGUCCACGCCGUAAACGAUGAGAACUAGCCGUUGGUCUCCUUGGGAGGUUAGUGGCGCAGCUAACGCGAUAAGUUCUCCGCCUGGGGAGUACGGCCGCAAGGUUAAAACUCAAAUGAAUUGACGGGGGCCCGCACAAGCGGUGGAGCAUGUGGUUUAAUUCGACGCAACGCGAAGAACCUUACCUGGUCUUGACAUCCACGGAAUCCUGCAGAGAUGUGGGAGUGCCUUCGGGAACCGUGAGACAGGUGCUGCAUGGCUGUCGUCAGCUCGUGUUGUGAAAUGUUGGGUUAAGUCCCGUAACGAGCGCAACCCUUGUCCUUAGUUGCCAGCGAGUAAUGUCGGGAACUCUAAGGAGACUGCCGGUGACAAACCGGAGGAAGGUGGGGACGACGUCAAGUCAUCAUGGCCCUUACGACCAGGGCUACACACGUGCUACAAUGGCCGGUACAGAGGGUUGCCAAGCCGCGAGGUGGAGCCAAUCCCGAAAAGCCGGUCGUAGUCCGGAUUGCAGUCUGCAACUCGACUGCAUGAAGUCGGAAUCGCUAGUAAUCGCAGAUCAGAAUGCUGCGGUGAAUACGUUCCCGGGCCUUGUACACACCGCCCGUCACACCAUGGGAGUGGGUUGCACCAGAAGUAGUUAGCUUAACCGCUAGGGGAGCGAUUACCACGGUGUGAUUCAUGACUGGGGUGAAGUCGGAACAAGGUA
rnacentral:rRNA from 1 species